rnacentral:rRNA from 1 species
CACGUAGGGCGCAAGCGUUGUCCGGAAUUAUUGGGCGUAAAGAGCUCGUAGGCGGUCUGUUGCGUCUGCUGUGAAAACCCGGGGCUCAACCCCGGGCCUGCAUUCGAUACGGGCAGACUAGAGUUCGGUAGGGGAGUCUGGAAUUCCUGGUGUAGCGGUGAAAUGCGCAGAUAUCAGGAGGAACACCGGUGGCGAAGGCGGGACUCUGGGCCGAUACUGACGCUGAGGAGCGAAAGCGUGGGAGCGAACAGG